AUUUUCUUCUCUACCACUUGUACUUAAUUCAUCUACUUUCUUUGGCUGAAAGAUUUCCGAUGCCCUGCCUCUAAUAUGAAUACUGUUGUGUGCUAAAGAAUUUAAUCAAUUUGUUUCACUCCCAGCUUCAUCUAUAUGCAUUUCAAGUUCACACUACAAUCUUUGCCUGACUGUCCAAAUUCUUAAUGUAAUUAUGAAAAGGAAAAUGUCCUUGUGUGAGAUAGAUAGAGGUAAUUAAUAUUGCUAUUAUCGUAACUUAAGAAUUGGAUAACCAGAGUAUGGGAGAAUUUUUGAGAAAAAGAAGAAUGGAAUGAGCUCCAAGAUUCUGCAUCUUCCACCAUGGAAUCUCAUCUUAUUUCAUCUCGCUGCACCACCUGCUGGGGAAGUAUGAGAAGUAGUUGCCAAAUUGUUCGUUCAAGAACAAAAAUGAUGAAUAUUUUGAUUGAGAGGAAAAAACCACAAGAGGUCCACUCAAUUUUUCAGGGUCUUACAGAAGAAGGACAUCGGCCAACUCUUGUCACAUAUACAACUCUUUUGGCUGCAUUCACUCUCCAAAAACGUUUCAAGUCAAUACCAUUGAUUCUUUCCAAAUUGGAGCAAGAUGGACUAAAACCUGACUCCAUAUUCUUCAAUGCUAUCAUAAAUGCUUUUUCUGAAUCUGGAAAUCUUAAGGAGGCAAUGAAAGUUUUCCACAAAAUGAGAGUGAAAAAAUGUAAGCCAACAACCAGCACUUUUAAUACAUUAAUUAAAGGGUUUGGAAUUAUUGGUAAGCCUGAAGAAUCUAUGAAACUUCUCGAAAUUAUGUCUCUUGAAGAGAACGUGAAACCUAAUGACAGAACAUAUAAUAUUCUGGUCCGGGCUUGGUGUAACAGGGGCAAAAUUGCAGAAGCCUGGAAUGUAGUUCACAGAAUGUUUUCAGCUGGUGUAAAACCUGAUGUUGUUACUUACAAUACUAUAGCAACGGCUUAUGCUAGAAACAAGGAGCCUGCUAGAGCAGAGGCAAUGAUUUUUCAAAUGCAAAAUCACAAAGUGGCACCAAAUCAUCGAACAUGUGGUAUUAUCGUGGAUGGGUACUGUAAGGAGAGAAAUAUGACACAAGCAUUGAGGUUUGUUUACAGGAUGAACGAUCUUGGUGUACUUCCUAAUCUAGUAAUAUUCAACUCUCUCAUCAAAGGCUUUCUCGAUAUUACUGAUACUAGUGGUGUUGAUGAGACACUUACAUUGAUGGAAGAGUUUGGGGUGAAACCAGAUGUGGUAACAUUUAGUACUAUCAUGAAUGCAUGGAGUUCAGCUGGAAUUAUGGAUAAAUGCAAAGAGAUAUUUGAUGACAUGAUUAAGGCGAGUAUAGAACCUGAUAGCCACACAUUCAGCAUUCUAGCUAAAGGCUAUGUGCGUGCGGGAGAACCUGAAAAAGCUGAAGCCCUGUUGAAAGUUAUGGCUUCAUCGGGUGUACAUCCGAAUGUCGUAAUGUUCACAACAAUCAUCAGUGGAUGGUGCAGUGCUGGACAAAUGCAGUAUGCUAUAAGGGUAUUUGAAAGGAUGUGCAAAAUGGAUGUAUCUCCUAACUUGAAAACAUUUGAGACCCUCAUAUGGGGUUAUGGAGAAGCAAAACAACCAUGGAAGGCUGAAGAGUUCCUCCAAGUUAUGGACGAGAUGGGAGUAACUCCCACGAAGAAUACUCUUCAACUUGUUUCAGAUGCUUGGCGAGCAAUUGGUUUCCUUAACGAGGCCAAGAAAAUCUCAGGGGAUGUGGAAUAUGAUGAUAGCACAUUCUUGAAUGCUCUGGAGGACAACAACUUUGAACGAGUAGUUUAUGCUAAGGAUUCUCUCUCAAGCCUUAAGCAAGUAAGCAACCAAAAUGGGUCGAGCCCUGUCAAUAAAAGAAGCCAAAUAGUGCUGAGCAGAUACUGUUGUUUGGGCGGAAGCAUAAAUGUGGCAACUAAAUCAAUAAUGCUUCCCCAUACUUGUCGAUUCAACGUAAAAUCUUUGAUGAUAUUUGACAAGCAACGUCAAGUGAAGAUCGGAAUAUAUGGUUUUGUGAAUUCAUGUAGAAUAAUGGCCUUAAAUUAACAAACUUCCAGUUCAGUCCAUUAAGGAAAGCCUCUUGAAAUCACAAUGUAUACCAAGACUGAAGUCCUUUUUGCAUCGCAAAGGCCUGCAAUUGUACAAUUGGAUGGUGUUUUUCUUGAACAUAUAUGUAAACUGUCAUCUUAUUCAAGACUUAUAUAUCAUUAUGAAAUGUAUAUUCUUUAGGCUGAGGUGAUAUUCAUGUCGGCUGUCCAAUGUCUUGGGCUUCUAAUACUAAUAACAGA
rnacentral:misc_RNA from 1 species